GGGUUAAGGAAAAAAUGAAAAAUAAAAUAUGUCGCAGGAACUCGUCUCCACGCAGAAUGCAAAUGGAGGUUGCUCCACAAGCACUUAGUGUUGCCAUCAAACAACAUCCAGAUUAAAUUCAUCAGUUUCCAUUUUUUUAUUACAGCAUAAAUGGACCUUAUUUCAUUCUAAUUCUCUAAUGCUAAAUGAAAAGUCUUAGCAGAUCCGUCCCGCCAUGGAAGGGAUCUGAUCUCUUAACUACAACAUUAAUUUCUGCGCUAUGAUAAAAUUAAAAAAAAGAUGGCUGAAUGUUUACUCGUAAGGCCUGCCCAACAAUUUUGCAGUAAGAAUUCUCAACUCGUCAAACACAGCAUACAGAUUCAGGUGGCAGGUUAAAUGUUACCUCUUCCUUACCGUUCAAACCUUUCUGUCUUCUAAACACCGCUCGAACCUGUGCCUUUCUCUGUAUUGUCAGAUGAGACAUUUUUUUUUUCCUUUCGAUCACAG